UGGGGGAGCUAUGGCUGAGCAGCUGGUCCAGCAGCAAGGAGUUGCUCUCCCCUGCAAACGCCUGCUCCUGGGUGUGGCUCCCCAGUUCCUAAGACAGCGCUUUGUGCAUAUCAUCGCUCUUCUGUCUGUGCCUGGGAGAUACUGACUUUAAAACCUCUCCUCUCAGCUUCUGAGGAAGGUUAGCCCCAUUUCCUCGGUGGAUCCUGAGACUGGACCGGAGAAGUUUCCAAACUCCUAGGUCUCCUGUUGCCAUGCCCGCCUGGCCUUUCUCUAGUCGGCUGCUUACAGGCAACUGUAGAGUGACAGAUCAGAGAGGACAAUGUUUCCAACUCCCUACAUUUUCAACUGAGGAAAGUGGCCCAGAGAAGAGUGACUUCCUCAAGACCCAUCUUCACAGAGCUUCUUUUCUUUCUGCUUUGACUGUUGGCACCAACACAGCAAUCAAAGAUGCCUAUGGCUCUGAGCAGGUACAAGUCGAAGCCAUGUGUAUCUGGAUGAUUUCACCCUCCAAAAAGAAGAGAAACCGUGAGAACAACAGCGACAACGAUGUCUAAUGAUAACAAUCCCUGUCUUGUAAGGUCCCCAGCACAGCACCACCCCUUGCUUGUCCUUCUCAGACCCAAUGUACAGAUUUUAAAGCAGGGUCAGGGUACUAUCUCAGAGCUGGAUUAAAACGAGGCUGACUCUACCCAUCCCAUCUCCAUCCCUGUCCCCACUCCAUCUCACAAUUUUAUUUCCAUUUCACACAUAACCCCUGAGUACCAGCCACAAAUCCAGCGAUAUUUAAUGAAUAUUUUGGUAAACUAAACUUAGAAGAAUCACCCAUCUUCUGGAGGUCAGAGUUACUUGAUGACCAUGGGAAUUCUCUUAGGAGCAAGGUCUACAUGACAGUUAAUCCUCGGCAAGUUGGAGUCAGAGUGAUGGCAGCUGCAGAUACUGCCCAAGCUUGUGGUAAGUGUUCUAUUUGGAUUGGUCAUUUCCCUAUCUAUCUAUCUAUCUAUCUAUCUAUCUA
rnacentral:sRNA from 1 species